rnacentral:misc_RNA from 1 species
GAUGAAGAACGCAGCGAAAUGCGAUACUUGGUGUGAAUUGCAGAAUCCCGUGAACCAUCGAGUCUUUGAACGCAAGUUGCGCCUGAAGCCUCGGCUAAGGGCACGUCUGCCUGGGCGUCACGCAUCGCGUCUCCCCCAAACCGCCAAGGCGGAGGGGAAGGAAGAUGGCUUCCCGUGCCUCACCCGGCGCGGUUGGCCUAAAUUUGGAGCCCGCGGCACUUAGCUCACGCGGCGAUAGGUGGUGAACAAGGCCUUGGCCGUGCAAACAACCCGCUGCGAAGCUCUAUGUCACGUGCGCUCGUCGGACCCUUUGAAGUUGCCUUCGGUGUCUUAAAACCUUUGCGACCCCAGGUCAGGCGGGGCUACCCGCUGAAUUUAAGCAUAUCAAUAGCGGAGGA